UACGUAGGGGGCUAGCGUUAUCCGGAAUUACUGGGCGUAAAGGGUGCGUAGGCGGUCUUUCAAGCCAGAAGUGAAAGGCUACGGCUCAACCGUAGUAAGCUUUUGGAACUGUAAGACUUGAGUGCAGGAGAGGAGAGUGGAAUUCCUAGUGUAGCGGUGAAAUGCGUAGAUAUUAGGAGGAACACUAGUAGCGAAGGCGGCUCUCUGGACUGUAACUGACGCUGAGGCACGGAAGCGUGGGGAGCAAACAGGAUUAGAUACCCUGGUAGUCCCU
rnacentral:rRNA from 1 species